rnacentral:ncRNA from 1 species
AUAACAUGUGCGCGAGUCAUUGGGCGUAACGAAAAAACCCAAAGGCGAAGUGAAAGUGAAGGUUUGGCUUGUCCGGACUGAGGUGAGAUCAUGCGCGGUAUCACCAAGUAUCGAGCUGCAGGCGCAUCACCGGCUCGUCCCAUGGUGUGAUGACCCUAUCCAGACUUUGCCAUCGGGGCGGAGCAUGAGCGUACGUCUUGAGACCCGAAAGAUGGUGAACUAUGUUUGCGCAGGUUGAAGCCAGAGGAAACUCUGGUGGAGGACCGCAGCGAUUCUGACGUGCAAAUCGAUCGUCAGACGUGAGUAUAGGGGCGAAAGACCAAUCGAACCAUCUAGUAGCUGG